rnacentral:rRNA from 1 species
AAUGGGCGAAAGCCUGACGGAGCAACGCCGCGUGAGGGAUGAAGGCCUCUGGGCUGUAAACCUCUUUUAUCAAGGAAGAAGAUCUGACGGUACUUGAUGAAUAAGCCACGGCUAAUUCCGUGCCAGCAGCCGCGGUAAUACGGGAGUGGCAAGCGUUAUCCGGAAUUAUUGGGCGUAAAGCGUCCGCAGGCGGCCCUUCAAGUCUGCUGUUAAAAAGUGGAGCUUAACUCCAUCAUGGCAGUGGAGACUGUUGGGCUUGAGUGUGGUAGGGGCAGAGGGAAUUCCCGGUGUAGCGGUGAAAUGCGUAGAUAUCGGGAAGAACACCAGUGGCGAAGGCGCUCUGCUGGGCCAUCACUGACGCUCAUGGACGAAAGCCAGGGGAGCGAAAGGGAUU